rnacentral:rRNA from 1 species
UCGCUCCUACCGAUUGAAUGAUCCGGUGAAAUCUUCGGACCAGUCUCUGUAGCAGGUUCGCCUCUGCAGAAAUUGGGAAGUUGCUUGAACCUUAUCAUUUAGAGGAAGGAG